UUGACAGCCUUGAAGACCUCUGUUUAUCCACAGAACAGGUACAGCACAAGUAGCAAUAGCAUAAGCUUCCCUACAACACCCUGACAAUGUGCCUCAAACUUUCUCCUACGUGGGAAAAAAUCAUGGGAAUUACACUGAAAAGAUAUAUUUGAUAACUGAGUCCAUUUCCUUGACAGUGUAGGGUUGUU
ensembl:misc_RNA